GCCCAGGUAGCUCAGUCGGCAGAGCAGGGGACUGAAAAUCCCCGUGUCGGUGGUUCGAUUCCGCCCCUGGGCACCA
rnacentral:tRNA from 3 species